rnacentral:rRNA from 1 species
UACGGGGGGAGCAAGCGUUGUUCGGAAUUACUGGGGGUAAAGGGUUCGUAGGCGGUGCGGCAAGUCGGGCGUGAAAUCUCUGGGCUCAACCCAGAGGCUGCUUCCGAAACUGCUGUGCUUGAGUGUGGGAGGGGCGCGUGGAAUUGCAGGUGUAGCGGUGAAAUGCGUAGAUAUCUGCAGGAACACCCGUGGCGAAAGCGGCGCGCUGGACCACUACUGACGCUGAAGAACGAAAGCUAGGGGAGCAAACAGG